AUUACUUGGAGGACUACGAAUGAACUACAAAUACUUGAUGAGAAGCCAUCACUUUGGGCUUCUCCGAAUGAGAGAAUUCUUAUAACUGGGCAUGUCCUUUACAAGGACGUAGAAGCUGAGACUGUCACAAGGAUAUUGGUUUCUAUUUGAGACAUGGUUUCUAAGGACACACAGAACCAUGCAAAGAAUUUAAACUACAUCCAUUUGAAACACAUUCUCCUUUGGAAGAAGUGAAAAGCAGAGUGGAGGUGAGGAAGUAGAAAGGACCUCACUCUCAAGGUUGCUGCAAGCUGGAGCUGAGCUGUCAGUGGAACGGGUCCUGGAAAUCAUUAAGCAAGGCGUCGUUGCGCUGCCCAAAGACAGACUGAAGGUAAGAAGGCUAAAGAAAUGUCCACUUGACACUGCCGUGUCCCUUGAUGUAAAUGUUAGUGUCUUAGCAGACCCUAUCCAGAAUCAUGCUGCUUAUCCAGUACAUAGACUAGAAGGGCUCCUCAGAACUGUGACAAAGGUUUCUGACAGCUUUUCAAAAGAAGCAUUAAUACUUUCAUGCCACUGCAUAUCCUACAAGUAGCCAUGGCAUGCACUAU
rnacentral:lncRNA from 10 species